GCCUUCGUGGUGUAGUGGUCGGCACGCUAGGCGAAUAUUCUAGAGGUCCCUGGUUUGAAUCCCGGCGAGGGCA
rnacentral:tRNA from 1 species